rnacentral:lncRNA from 1 species
UUUGAAUGACAUUUGUAAAUAAUUAUUUGAUAGUUGUCAAAAACUCAUAGAGUAAGAAAUAGCAUGUUCUUGAUUCUCUUUUUAGAUGAAUUCAUACGGCUAUCUCUUACAAGAAUAAGAAGUAUGAAACUACUCUUAUACCUAUAUCCUCGUGGACAAAAUAUAGGACAAGAAACAAAAUUUCUUUCUUUUGGGUUCCUUUGUGCUUUUUCUUUUGAAUAUAUUUUUGUAAAAAAAAGUA